AUCGCUUCUCAGCCUUUUGGCUAAGAUCAAGUGUAAGUUUCAUGAAUGUUGAAAUUUCUGAUUUUGAUCAUUAUAUUGUGUUUUUUGAAAGAACUGGUUCCUUGGCAAACACAUUCUGAAAUAUUUAGUGGUAAAUGGGGCAUGAUAUCAGAAGCAUUU
ensembl:snRNA U2 U2 spliceosomal RNA